GUCACUAAGGGAGGGAAAUACAUAGAAGCAUAAAAGAUCUCAGCUUUCUGCAGUGUGUGCUUUUGGUUUUGUGGUAUGCAGUCGGAAGCCCAAACGCUCAAAUGUUCCGGCUUGAGCAGGACUCCAGGACGAAGG